UGAACCCUGCUGGGCCGAAGUCUAACGCACCGCGUCAGAUACAUUGUAGGCUAGGUGGGGUUCU
rnacentral:sRNA from 12 species